GCCUGGUUAGUACUUGGAUGGGAUACCGCCUGGGAAUACCAGGU
rnacentral:rRNA from 1 species